AAGAGAUUGAAUCUUUGUCCAAGGUCACCCAGUAAGAGACACCAUUAAAGGAUGGAGCCCAGUUUCCCAGUAUUCAGUGAAACCUGCCAACCAGGAAAAGGACUGUUUAUCCUUUGAGGAUGUGGCUGUGUACUUCUCCUGGGAGGAAUGAACACUGCUUGAUGACUCUCAAAAGAUCCUGCACCAGACUGUGAUGUCAGAGAUCUGAACACUCAUGUCUUUGAUGGAGAGAGCCGCAUCUUUCUGACAGCUGGCCUAUGAAUACCAAGUCUUUCUGCCACAGUCUUGGAGUAUAAAAUACAGGUUAAAAACCAAGUCAAGUUUCACAACAGCUCUAUUUCUCUCAAUUGCAUCAAAGGCACACAGAGUUGAAAUUAAUGGACUAAACAAACACAUCUGGCCUGGGGUCAAGAGACUUAACACUGUCAGAUUCCCUCUGACUUGAUGACACUCUAAA